UACGGGGGGUGCAAGCGUUAUCCGGAUUCACUGGGUUUAAAGGGCGCGUAGGAGGACAGGUAAGUCAGUGGUGAAAUCUCCGAGCUUAACUUGGAAACUGCCGUUGAUACUAUCUGCCUUGAAUAUUGUGGAGGUGAGCGGAAUAUGUCAUGUAGCGGUGAAAUGCUUAGAUAUGACAUAGAACACCAAUUGCGAAGGCAGCUCGCUACACAUAUAUUGACUCUGAGGCACGAAAGCGUGGGGAUCAAACAGG
rnacentral:rRNA from 1 species